rfam:Enterococcus durans ATCC 6056 genomic scaffold acyDB-supercont2.4, whole genome shotgun sequence.
GUUCGUCUUCAGGGGCAGGGUGAAAUUCCCGACCGGUGGUUAAAGUCCACGACCUACUUUUCAAGUAGCUGAACCGGUGAAAUUCCGGUACCGACAGUACAGUCUGGAUAAAGAAGAUAGAG